rnacentral:tRNA from 2 species
GACCGCCUGGCGGCCUUCGUCGCCGCGCGCUGGCAGGUGGCGCCCGAGGCGGUGCAGUUCGCCGGCGGCCA